rnacentral:rRNA from 1 species
GUGCCAGCAGCCGCGGUAAUACGGAGGGUCCAAGCGUUAUCCGGAUUUAUUGGGUUUAAAGGGUCCGCAGGCGGAAAAAUAAGUCAGUGGUGAAAGCCUGCAGCUUAACUGUAGAACUGCCAUUGAUACUGUUUUUCUUGAGUAUAGAUGAAGUGGGCGGAAUGUGUCAUGUAGCGGUGAAAUGCAUAGAUAUGACACAGAACACCGAUUGCGAAGGCAGCUCACUAAACUAUUACUGACGCUCAUGGACGAAAGCGUGGGGAGCGAACAGGAUUAGAUACCCUGGUAGUCCACGCCGUAAACGAUGAUUACUCGGUGCUAGCGAUAUACCGUUAGUGCCUAAGCGAAAGCGAUAAGUAAUCCGACCUGGGGAGUACGGUCGCAAAGAUUGAAAACUCAAAGGAAUUGGCGG